AAUAAUAAUAAAAAACACGAAAUAACGUUCAUGUUACUGUUUGGAUUUCUACCUUAAUCGCACGAAAACUAUAGUAAUGAUAUAUAGGCGAAAUCAAUGGACUGAUGGCUUAAAAUGUUCAACGUAUGUAUUAAUGUCUCUUUAAAUUUCGUCACUUGGUCCAGUUGAAGUAGCUAAUUUUGUUUUGCAGCACACUUUCUGUCGGAAUUUGAAUGAAAUGUUUUAUAUUUCUUCCUGGAAAUGUGACUCCACUCUGGUCAUUGCAACAGUUUAAUGAACUGGUAUAAUAAAUAUUUCCCUUGGCAUUUCAAAGUUAUUUCUACACUGCCAGACUUUGAACCAUCCAUACUCUAAAUAUUAUUUGCAAUGGGACUAGGGAAGGUCUUUUCAAUAGCUUCUUAAGCAAACAGUCGAAGCAAGGCAAACCCUCCUGGAAAAAGAAGAAAAAAAAAAAAAAGCCCUGCAAAUUGGCUUCCCCCCACAUCCCCUUGGCUUUUAAAUAUUUUCAGUGACUAAAUACUUAUAAUAAGGGUCAUUUUUCUUGGAAGAGAAAGGGAGAAUAUUAGAGCCCUGGGAAAGGAGAUCUGGAAAAUCCAUUUGCUUUCCCGAUGUCGAUAUAUUCAUAGAGUCAUAGAGUAGGUGAAAUUCAAGAGAAUGUAAAACGUUUUGUUUCACGUGAUAAGGUUCGGGUUUAAUUAAUUGCCAUGAAUUUGCUUGGUAUUUAUAAAAUAUCACUAUAUAAGGGCUACCGUUUAGUUGCAACUUGGGUAAUCCAUCUCUUCGCCCUUGUAAUUACUAUACUUAUCUCUCUAGAACAGUCAUUUCUACUUCAGGUUUAUAGAACAGGUAAUGGAUAGUAAAAGCCAUUUGUUUUCGAAAUAUUAAAACAAGCAGGUAUAAUUUCACGGCAAUAAAAAACAACUCCCAACUUUCCUUGUAAUAUUCACUCCUACAUCAUAACGUUUAACUUUCAAUUUAGGAAUACGAGUCUACGUGUUCUUUUGAAGCGGGUUCAUUUGGAGGGAUGUAAAGAAAGAGAGCGGGGAAAGGAGGGGAGUAGAGAGGGAGGAAAUUAAAGGUAUCGUUUUCAAUAAUAUUUCUAAUUUAUCUCCUUUGCUCUGGACAGACUCGGUCUGGCCCGGGGGUGAGGGUCUCUAAGUGUCAGACAGUCGCUACAAAGACAGUUCAGAGUGGGUUUUCCUUGUUCAUUUUUUUUCUUCCCCUGCCAGACAAUCAGCUGUAUGUGCUUUUAAAUUCCGAUUUUCAAAUGACUUCUUUAUCACGGGGAGAAACGCGGGUUUGGAACUGGCAGUGUAAAUGCGGAGAUAAACGGAGAACUGCCCGCAGCCCCUCGCAGAGCAGCCCCGCUCCCCCGCGUACACGGCAUUAACCCCCGUCCCUUCACGAGUUUUAAAUGUUGCACACCAUUAGUGAAAUCACAAUCAUAAUUAGUAACAAAGAAGCAUCGUUAGUAAUAGAAAGAUACACGAGGUUGGCUGGGAAACACGCACGGCUUAAAUGUUGGUGUUCCCGUUGCAAAGCAGGUGUGGGCUGAUUCCCCCUCACCCAGCUCGGCGCACCGUACACCCCGGCUGCGGGAAGGGGAAAGUCGGGCGCUAGGGAAGCUCCUCGGGCGAGACCGGCGUAAGGAACGAAGCCAAGGGCUGCGCUCCCCAGAGGGGAGGGGGGCAAGUGGCAACUGGCUCUGCGGGAGGAACAGACCCCGAAAAAUACCUAAACCCAGCCCGAGCCAGAAGGCGCGGGCAGCGCGAAGAGGGGAGCGCGGAGCCGUGCGCGGAGCGGCGCGGGGCUGGGCUGGGCCGGGCCGGGCAGCGCUGCGCGGGGGCGCGGAGCGGCGCGGGGUGAACCGCGGGUCAGUGCGGCUCUCGGCGGCCGCCGCGCUGCGGACACGCCUCGCUGUUUAACAAAGACUGACAAACUAUGAGAUUAAUACCAAAACUUGCGGGUUUCCCACCCCAAAAUGCUCAGAGGGCCUCCUGGCGCUGCCAGGAGCAGUUCCGCUCGCCUGAGGGGACAAUAGUGGUGUAUAGUGGGGGCGGGGGGAGGGGGCACGAACAAACCCGACCGAAAAAAAAAAAAAAAAAAAAAAAAAGAAGAAGAAGAAGAAGAAGAGAGAGAGAUAUUAGUGUUCUUAUCGAGAAAUAAUCUCAUUGAAAAGGCAACACGGGGGAGAGAGACCAGAAUAGCCCAGGCUGGACCGGGUCGGGGUUCUGGGGUGGGGGGGGCGAGGUUUUAGGGGAUUUCGGUCUGAUUCCGCCUGCAAAGCCUUACCAACUUUUGAGGGAGCGUCCUAACCCCCUCGGGGAUUACUCAGAGGAAAGACCCCACGUUUGGCCAAGCAAAUCUCCGUAGACCGUCUGUUGGGAAAAAAGCACCCGGAAUCCUACAAGAAUCUUCAAGGGAAAUAAUAAUAAUAAUAAUAAUAAAAUCUGGAUCGUAAAGGUGAAAGCUUUAUAACGGGGGGAGGAAAACAAAACCAAAAACCCCAAGCUACCCCCUCCCCCAGAACUCUCACUUUGGAAGAAACUACCCAAACCAUGAGGGCCGUCUCUGGGGCGUUGGAAAAAGGAUGUGGGAGCGAACCAGGUAACAGAGCUGCUCUCUUGGCAUGCAUUUCUGAUCUUUUUAUUGCCUCCUCUCACGAGAGAAGUUCGGG